AUUUUUCUAAUACUGAACAUAAAAUUAUGCUUAUUUUUAUUUGAAGCAUGAUUAAAAAAAUUGCUGUGUGUAGUCUUUGCCUGUCAGCCCAUGAUAGGCUUUUUUUUUA
rnacentral:other from 1 species